AACAGGAUUAGAUACCCUGGUAGUCCACGCCGUAAACGAUGUCGACUUGGAGGUUGUGCCCUUGAGGCGUGGCUUCCGGAGCUAACGCGUUAAGUCGACCGCCUGGGGAGUACGGCCGCAAGGUUAAAACUCAAAUGAAUUGACGGGGGCCCGCACAAGCGGUGGAGCAUGUGGUUUAAUUCGAUGCAACGCGAAGAACCUUACCUACUCUUGACAUCCAGAGAACUUAGCAGAGAUGCUUUGGUGCCUUCGGGAACUCUGAGACAGGUGCUGCAUGGCUGUCGUCAGCUCGUGUUGUGAAAUGUUGGGUUAAGUCCCGCAACGAGCGCAACCCUUAUCCUUUGUUGCCAGCGGUUCGGCCGGGAACUCAAAGGAGACUGCCAGUGAUAAACUGGAGGAAGGUGGGGAUGACGUCAAGUCAUCAUGGCCCUUACGAGUAGGGCUACACACGUGCUACAAUGGCAUAUACAAAGAGAAGCGACCUCGCGAGAGCAAGCGGACCUCAUAAAGUAUGUCGUAGUCCGGAUUGGAGUCUGCAACUCGACUCCACGAAGUCGGAAUCGCUAGUAAUCGUGGAUCAGAAUGCCACGGUGAAUACGUUCCCGGGCCUUGUACACACCGCCCGUCACACCAUGGGAGUGGGUUGCAAAAGAAGUAGGUAGCUUAACCUUCGGGAGGGCGCUUACCACUUUGUGAUUCAUGACUGGGGUGAAGUCGUAACAAGGUAACC
rnacentral:rRNA from 1 species